rnacentral:lncRNA from 1 species
GUCAAAAAACAACUUUGACAAUCUUCUGUAUAUGGUUAAGCCAUUAAUAGAGAAAUGUGACAGCAACUUUAGAAAAUAAAUACAUGCUGAAGACUGUACAAAAUUAUGCAAAACUGUUAUUAACUAAAAGGAACUUAAAUUAUAAUUAUCAAGGAACGUAAAAGUUAUAAAGUAUGAAAGACAACAGUUUUCAGUCUCAGUAUCGUCACAAGUUCGAGGGUUUCUUUGUUUAGCCUCGGUGAGCACUGCUGGGUGUAUCCAUCAUAGUCUUUUGUUUACCUUGACGUCAUAGAAUCAGCUAUACAAAUCAUCUGCUUAUAUGCAAACCAGGUAGGGCCGUAUUGACUUUCACUUCUUCCAACACUUUUCUUCUCCAUCGAUAUCUUUUGGUGCUCUUUUGAAAAAUAAGAUUUCCAACAUUUUAUCUUGGAGAGGAC